CCUACGGGAGGCAGCAGUGAGGAAUAUUGGUCAAUGGGCGCGAGCCUGAACCAGCCAAGUAGCGUGAAGGAUGACUGCCCUACGGGUUGUAAACCUCUUUUAUAAAGGAAUAAAGUGAGGCACGUGUGCCUUUUUUUAUGUACUUUAUGAAUAAGGAUCGGCUAACUCCGGUCCAGCAGCCGCGGUAAUACGGAGGAUCCGAGCGUUAUCCGGAUUUAUUGGGUUUAAAGGGAGCGUAGAUGGGUUGUUAAGUCAGUUGUGAAAGUUUGCGGCUCAACCGUAAAAUUGCAAUUGAUACUGGCAGCCUUGAGUACAGUUGAGGUAGGCGGAAUGCGUGGUGUAGCGGUGAAAUGCUUAGAUAUCACGCAGAACUCCGAUUGCGAAGGCAGCUUACUAAACUGCCACUGACGUUGAUGCUCGAAAGUGUGGGUAUCAAACAGGAUUAGAUACCCGGGUAGUC
rnacentral:rRNA from 1 species